rnacentral:rRNA from 1 species
GAACGCUGGCGGCAUGCCUAACACCUGCAAGUCGAACGAGCCCUUCGGGUCUAGUGGCGCACGGGUGCGUAACGCGUGGGAACCUGCCCUUAGGUUCGGAAUAACUCCCCGAAAGGGGUGCUAAUACCGGAUAAUGUCUUCGGACCAAAGAUUUAUCGCCUUUGGAUGGGCCCGCGUUGGAUUAGCUAGUUGGUAGGGUAAAAGCCUACCAAGGCGACGAUCCAUAGCUGGUCUGAGAGGAUGAUCAGCCACACUGGGACUGAGACACGGCCCAGACUCCUACGGGAGGCAGCAGUGGGGAAUAUUGGACAAUGGGCGAAAGCCUGAUCCAGCAAUGCCGCGUGAGUGAUGAAGGCCUUAGGGUUGUAAAGCUCUUUUACCCGGGAUGAUAAUGACAGUACCGGGAGAAUAAGCUCCGGCUAACUCCGUG